rnacentral:rRNA from 1 species
UACGUAGGGUGCAAGCGUUAAUCGGAAUUACUGGGCGUAAAGCGUGCGCAGGCGGUUAUGUAAGACAGGUGUGAAAUCCCCGGGCUUAACCUGGGAACUGCAUUUGUGACUGCAUAGCUAGAGUACGGCAGAGGGGGAUGGAAUUCCGCGUGUAGCAGUGAAAUGCGUAGAGAUCGGGAGGAACACCAGCGGCGAAGGCGGCGAACUGGAUAGGCACUGACACUCAACAACGAAAGCGUGGGGAGCAAACAGG